ACCUGAGCGCAGCGACGCGCGAAUCCACCAUGAGGGCUCGCAAUCGCAACCCAACUUCGCAACUCGCAAGAGAGCCCGGCCGGAGCGGGGGACGACGCCCGGAUGUGACCGCGCGGCCUGGGCUUGGACCAUCACCGCGGCAGAAAGGACUCUCAGCAGGUGUAGCGCAGCCCACUACAGCAACGUCGUCGUGUGCCGAUGGGUGGUGUCGCAUUUCAGCCUGAUAAGGUUAGGCGUAUGGGCCUAAAAAACGGACCAUGAACCCAGUCCCUUGAUGGGCCCAGCUGAAAAGAAGGAAAACGGGACAGACAAGGAGGAACAGUCCGAUUAUGUGCACGUCAUAUCGCCCCACCUGAGUCUACCAGGGCACAUAUGACCUAGAAGUAUAUGAAAAAAUUUCAAUAAAAAUAUGAAUUAAUAGAUUAUGAAAUUAUCUAUGUUCAUACAAAAUUUAAGAUCAAACAAACAUUUGUACGAUGAGGAACGAACAAGAAGAAAAAAAAAUAAACAUGUGAAUGAGUGCAGAUGUGGAUCACACACUCCAAUAAAAAAUAACAUAGUAAAAAACAAAAAAAAAGAAAUUAGCAUGUGAGCGGUGGACAGCACCAGAAAACAUAACAACCGCUAUACGAAGUUUGUUCAUCUGGUUUCUGACAGUUAACAAUGCAUCCUCUGACGCCGGUUAUCAUCGUUAAGCUAACUUAGCUGCAGAUGCAAAUGUCGGAGCAUCGGCCACGCGGCCCUGCCAAUAUGGGCCAUAACCCAGCUGCCUCUCACUGCAGACCAUACAAGCCUCCAACACAGGCGGCGUCCGCAGCUCGUACGGGUAAACGGCGCCGAAGAGCUUGUUCCGGAUGUGGUCGCGCUCCAGCUGCAUGGUCUUGACUCUUGAGGUCCAAUGUGAACAGCCACGUCUCCUCGUCCUCGGCCGGCGUCAACACGACAUACCCGUUCCCGGCCGUGACGAUCCUACCGGCGCUGCCGAAGAAGCACUCCUUGCGUCCUGGGAGCCCGCGGGUCGCCUCGGAGUCUCGGACAGGUUCAGAGUCCUCUCAAGUCUCAAGGCCCCACUCGCUGCUGCCGCGCUCCGGCUCCACGUCCGACGAGGCUGACGAGCCGCGCCAUGUCCGAGCCACCGUCGUCGACGAACCGGAAGGUCGAGUGGUCCUUGGAUCCCCGGAGGCGCGCGCGCCGGAAGAAGAUCCUGAAAGAAGACGACGCCGUGGGAGAGAUCUGAGGCGGUCAGGACGGUGCCGUCGCCGUCGCCGUCGAUGACCCACCACCCACCCAGAACACGGACCUCGUGGCGCGGCCCGAGAAGCGCGCGGACUCCGCGCCACGGAGCUGGACGAAGGACAUGUUCAUGGCCCGCGUGUUCCAGCGGCCGUCCGUCCAGACGCAGGACAGAGCGACGCCGACGUCGUCGGCCAUCCACGAGGAACGCUCGUAGAGCACGCAGGUCUCCUUGAACUCCGACAUGCUGAGGACGGCGGAGCACUUGCUGAGGCCUGAGGAAGACGCCGAGGCAGCGGAGGUACUUUAUGCCAUCGACCUCGAGUCCUCGAUGGGGCGGAUCCUGACGUGGCGGCGCGUGGCGAGCUCGCAGACGAUGAGCUCCAAGAAGAAGCCGCCGCGCCUCGGUUGGCGAGGAGGAGGCUGCCGAGACCGUCGACGAGCUCCCAGGACCGACGCCCGCGCCGAGGAACUCGAGGCCGGGAGAAGUGGCGUUACCGGACGGCGGACGCCGCCGACCGGGGACGAAGGCUACGCCGCGACGGGACGCCUGGCCCGGCGAGGGCGAGUAGGACGGGUUGGCGACAUGGUAGCAGCCGAGAACGUGGGGGGGCCGCGUGGCGAGACAGGAACUUGUCGGCGACGUCGUAGCCCGCGGCGAUGCGGCGCCACCGAGCCUGCACGUGGCCGCCGCGCGGACGAGGCCGAGGUGCGAGUCGAUCCGGAGGAGGACGAGCUUGAGGAGGCGGGCGGGGACGUCGCGCAGGGUGGUUGGUGGCCAGUGGCCUCGUCGCCGGCGGCGCCUGCUUCUUGCACUGUCUAGGAGGAGGACUCCGUCUAGAAGCACGAAACGCAACCGAGAUGUACUCUUUUUUGGGAAACUGAACCGAGAUGGACUCGAGGAGCGAAAUCGAUGCUCAUAACCCGGCAGCCGGCAUCAUAUAUGUGGUUUCUGUUUCUCUCUAAUCUCUCGGGGAACGGAAAAUAGAUAGGAGAAGAUGCCUCCUGGCAGGAUCAGAAGGCUGAAGAGGGAGCGCAGGAAGAUGAUGGCCGCUGCGAGGAUGACCAAUGAUUCUAAUGCGACGACCAAUGGCACUACCGCGAUGACUGUCAAGGACGAGCCGAUGGGCGGCCCGGAGGCGCUCCCGCCACAGUUGGGAACGACGGAUGGUUCUACUGGAGGCACUAACGCAUUGGCUGUAUUGAACCAGUCGGUGGGCGACAAGGAGGCGCUAGCUCCCGCCAUGGUGGACGCGACCGAUGGUUCUACUGCGACGAACGGUAGGAAACACAAAGGGAAGAAGAAGAGGAAGAAGAAGACGACGACGUCGACGAGGACCGAUAGCACUACCGCAGCGACUAUCAUGAACCAGCCGGUGGGCAGCAAGGUAGCGCUAGCUCUCUCCACGGUGGGCGCAACCGAUGGUUCUACUACUCUCCAUGGUGAAAUGCAAAAUGAAGAAGGAGAUAUCGUAGAGAUCACAUACCUGCAGGAUAUGAACACCAAGACGACUGUCAAGAACCAGCCAUUGGGCGUCCAGGAGGCACUUCUGCCAAGAUGGACGAUGACCAAUGGGUCUACUGUGACAACUGGCAUGAAACCCAAAAGAAAGAAGAAGAAGAAGACGGCGACCAAGUUGCCACGGUCGUGGCAGGAGCACAAAAUCAAAGG
rnacentral:lncRNA from 1 species